ACAUAAUAAAUUAUUAGUAUAUUUAUGUGUAUUUUUUCUAAUUUUUUCUUGUUUGUAUAAUUUAUGAUGAUUUUCAUAUCUACAGGAUAAUUUUAUGAUUGAUUUCCUACAUUUUUCAAAAAAUGAUGAGAAGUACAUACAUAAUAGUUCAAUAAUAAUACAAUAUAAAACAUUUCAUUCCAAUGUACAUCUUUUUUACACAAUCGAUAUUUGUAUCAUAAAGCUUCUUAUGUUUAAUCUACUUACUACUGUCUCACUUUGUAUAUGAAAUAUUAAAAUUUCAAGCAGUUAAUAGUGAAUUUGUGGCGAAUUUUUAGAGGAUCAAUAAAAAGAAUGUGCAUUAUAAAAUAUAAAUAACACAAGAUCGAAAAGAGAAAAGAAGAUAUCAAACAUAAACGUAAGUUCUAUGAUAAAUCACAAAAUAUUUUAUCAUCUUAGAUAACAAAAAUAAUAAAAGAUUUUUGAAAAUAUUAUAAACAUAAUUAUUUAGAAUUCUUUUGUAAUUUUAUUUGGAAUAUCUUUUGGGAGCAACUUAUGUUUAUAAUAAUUUUUGUUAAUAUUUGUAAUACUAACCUUAAAAGUUUUUGUGGCAGUUAAUAAAGGUGAUAACAAUUGAUAAGGAA